CAUAUAGAGAGAGAGAACUAAAGGACAUCUGCAUAUUCUCUGACUGACUGCACAACUACAACAGUCACCAGCUUGACUCACCAAGGUGGAUUUCCUGCUUUAUUUUUUAAAACACUUUAAUUUAGAUAUACUGACAGAUAUUUUCACAAAACUUCGUUUUGAUAUUAAGGACUGGAGGUUGAGUUGGUUGUCUUCGCAAUUGUUUUACCAGCUGCUGUCUGUCCAUCCAUCCGUCUGUGGAUCCCCCUGGUCAAGGAUGAGGUCCCUGGCCCUCGGGCUCUUUGCCUGCUCUGCUGCGAUGCAGUCCGAGUGGACCACAGAGACAGACGCCGUCCCAGACCAUCCGUCCUGUCCAGAGGACGCAAUGACUCGGCCGUCCAGUCUAACUCAGUGGAGAGCCUGUGUAAAGGGAAGCCCCUGGAUUUUGUGUUCAUCAUCGACAGCUCCCGCAGCGUGCGUCCCAGCGACUACGAGAAGGAC